UACGGAGGGGGCUAGCGUUGUUCGGAAUCACUGGGCGUAAAGGGCGCGUAGGCGGCCCUCUUAGUCGCGUGUGAAAUCCCUCGGCUCAACUGAGGAACUGCACAGGAAACUGCUUGGCUUGAGUUCGGGAGAGGGAAGCGGAAUUCCGGGUGUAGCGGUGAAAUGCGUAGAUAUCCGGAGGAACACCGGUGGCGAAGGCGGCUUCCUGGACCGACACUGACGCUGAGGCGCGAAAGCUAGGGGAGCAAACGGG
rnacentral:rRNA from 1 species